GGUAGAGCACUGUUUUGGCUAGGGGGACAUGGAGUCUUACCAAACCAAGGCAAACUCCGAAUACCUGGAAGCGUGAGCACGGGAGACAGAGCACCGGGUGCUAACGUCCGGACUCAAAAGGGAAACAACCCAGACCGCCGGCUAAGGUCCCAAAUAACAGCUAAGUGGAAAACGAAGUGGAAAGGCCGUGACAACCAGGAAGUUGGCUUAGAAGCAGCCAUCCUUCAAAGAAAGCGUAAUAGCUCACUGGUCGAGUCCUUCUGCGCGGAAGAUGUAACGGGGCUAAGCUGUUAACCGAAGCCGCGGAUGCACUGGUAAUCCAGUGCGUGGUAGGGGAGCGUUCUGUAAGUCUGCGAAGGCGGUUCGAGAGGACUGCUGGAGAUAUCAGAAGUGCGAAUGCUGACAUGAGUAACGUUAAAGCAGGUGAAAAGCCUGCUCGCCGUAAGCCCAAGGAUUCCUGCUCUACGUUCAUCGGAGCAGGGUGAGUCGGCUCCUAAGGUCAGGCCGAAAGGCGUAGCCGAUGGGAAUCAGGUUAAUAUUCCUGAACCUGCGUCAGAUGCGAUGGGGGGACGGAGCAUGGAAGAUCAUCCGGGUGUUGGAAGUCCCGGUUGUUGAGCGUAGGAGGUCUGCAGGCAAAUCCGCAGACGCAUCUCCAAGGCAAAGACACGUGCCGCCACGGCGGCGAAGUGAUCGGAAGUGCUUCCAAGAAAAGCCUCUAAGCACCAGUCUGGCGCGGACCGUACCGCAAACCGACACUGGUGGGCGAGCUGAAUAUGCUCAGGCGCUUGAGAGAACUCGGGAGAAGGAACUCGGCAAAUUGACACCGUAACUUCGGAAGAAGGUGUGCCGUAGUACCGUGAGAGGAGAGACACCUUGAGCGGGAAUCGGUCUCAGAGAAUAGGUGGCUGCGACUGUUUAUUAAAAACACAGCACUCUGCAAAGUCGAAAGACGACGUAUAGGGUGUGAUGCCUGCCCGGUGCUGGAAGAUUAAUUGAUGGGGUGAGAGCCCUUGAUCGAAGUCCCAGUAAACGGCGGCCGUAACUAUAACGGUCCUAAGGUAGCGAAAUUCCUUGUC
rnacentral:rRNA from 1 species